GCGGGUGGUGUCACUGAGCAGCCAUUUCGGAAGGUCUGUGGCUUCAGGAAAUAAGACCUGGGUGCAGGAAACCUAGGGUCACAGCUCGGUCACUGCAGCCCCGAUGGACGUCCGGCGGCUGCAGGGGGAAGGGCACGUGGCCGGGCAGCCCCGCGGGCUCGCCUCUGCAGGUCGCCGGGGAUCGUGACGUCACAACCCCGCCUCCCCGACUCGCGCUUCCACACCUCUCCCUGCAGGGGGCGCCAGGGCAGGCGGGCGAUUUCUUCGGUGCGUUGAAAAGGCUUUCUCAUUCCAAACGGGUCGCCACGGCCACGGGGCUGGGCAGGGCUGGUGUCUCCAUCCCCAUCCGAAAGAGCUGCUGACGACCGGUUGACCCAGAUCAGCGUCGCCCUGUGAGGUCCAGUCGUUUCCUUUUCUUCCUGAGCCUCAUUUUCAUCAAAUCUGUUGGAGAUGUUUUAUCAACAGGACAGGAAGAGGCAUCAGGAACAAUGGAGCAUGUGUACUGUAGCCUGCCUGGACUGCUAAACACUGCAGGCAUGUAUUUGAAGCUGCCUGUGGCAUCAGGUAGGCAGAAAGGAUAGAUAUGGCAAAUGACAGGUGUGUCAGAGGGAGGAGAUGCUCUUCCUGGCCACCGUUCCUCUCCAUAUUGUGGAUUACAACAGUUACACAGUUGUUCUACUGGAAACCCAUCCCUGACAACAACUGGGACCACUGCUCUAGUAUAGCAAUAAGAUCUUUAAAAUCCAGGUGAAAGCACUGACUCUGUUCUCAGUACUGGCGUUUCCUUCCAUGUAGAAAUAUACUUUUCUGGUUUGGGUCAUUGAUGGAGCCACUUCUGGAAAACACACUACAGCAUAGGGGACGGAUGACAAAGUCACUCAGAUCUGAGGAAACAUGGGAGGGUGAGAGAAAGGGAAGGAUUUGUUCAAGUUAUAAUGGCAACAGAACUAUCUCACUUCGCUAUGUGUCUCAACCUGUCUCAUUAGACGUCUGUGGCGAAAACAAAGAAUUAUAGAAUUUCUUGACAAGCUGGCGAACGAUUGCUCUUUCUGAAAUGAGGGCUGUGUAAGAUGUCUGUGACUUGUCUUAAAGACGACACUACUUUCACACACCUGAGUUACCUCUGUGUACAGAUUGACAGCUAAUGUGUAAGAUGCCCCAAGGUGAUUUCUGUUAAUAAGCAAAUUAUACCGCCUGACAUUGAGCCCUAUGAUAAAAGAAAGCUUUUUGUCUGCAGGUGAAGGUAUGUCAGCACCCUGUGACUAAUCCCAUUACAUGUCAUGGUUAGAACUCUAUAGGAGUUCGGCAAAAGUUACUUGCUACCCUUGACAAGACAGCAGUGUUCUGAUCUGUCAUUUUAUCAGGUCUAGGAAUGGUUAGAUUAUGUAUGUGUCAGUGAAGAGGGAAAUGCAAUAUUUCAGUAUUAUGGCUAAUUUGUCUGUAAAAUGACAACUUUGACUUGAUGGUUUGGUUUUAGAGUUGUAAAAGUUAAAUUUAAUUCUUUAUCACUAAAAGUGGUUACCUCAUUAAGCUUAUAUUUUGGAUUAGAUGUGUUUCUGGUAAAUAUAGAGUAUGCUCAGUGUUCAAGACAUAUUAAUGUGUGAAGAGGGUUGUGGUGUCUGAGUUCCACAGGUCCACCCUGUUUGCAAUGGGACUGGAGUCUGAGGAUUGUCCUGCUCAGGUAAAGCUCAAUAUUUGAACUUUAACCUUUUUUGGUUAGAAUUUCAAAUAAAUAAAGUAAUUUAAAGGCUUUCAUUUGCAUGUUUUAUACAUUUUACUAGAAGAAAACAUGCAGUUGCUACAUAACCUCUUCAACACAGAUGCUGCUGUGUUCAAGUGUGUGAGAGGAGAAAUGGACAAGAUUUGAUCUGCAUUCUGCUAUAGGCGAAUGUAACCAGCUGCUUGGUCAAAUUCAGCCUACUCCAACAGCGAUUCAUUAAUUAUUUUCUUCUUCCUCUUUAGGAACCUGCUGGUAGGAUAUGUAGGUAGGAUAUUUCUGCUAUGAAUACCAACAAACACAAGCUUUGCAAUAGCACUGUUUCUUAGGGAACCUUGAGGUACAUUUCUGACAGCUCCUCUAGGAGCUGGAGAGCAGCAGAGUCCUUCUGUUCCUCAUGCUGUUCUAGUACCAGGCUGGGAGAUUAACAGUCCCACAGGGUCUCUGUGAAAAGGAGCUUCUUUCCCACCUACCCUGUACUGUACGUCUCCAGGCCAGCACCUCACCUCAGGGGUCACCCCUAUGUGCUCCAGCUUCUUCCGGGAUUGCACUGCAACAUCUGAAUAUUUUCGCAAGUGACAAACAAAACAUUCUCUUAUGCGGUGGGAAUCUAAAGACGUUCCUGUUGUAAUCUCAGGAAUCUUAGGAUCUAAGAUCCUGUCAUGGCAUUCUGAGCUCUGAAGCAUGUGUGCAACGACAGAGCAGAGUUUCAGGUAGGUCUCUGUUUUUCAGUACAAUAACUCAGCUGGCCUUGAUAACUCGGAUCCAGUGAGGAAGAGCCUCUAACAAGCAGCCUUCACCUCUCUUUUCCCCAGGCUUCUGCCAGAGUUAUUAUUGCUCUUGGCCUUUCAAGCACCGCUCAUCCUGUCCCCUCACAGGCUCGUUCUGGGAGACCUGGGAAACCAGUCUGGUCGGCUGGACGUGUUUGUCCACCCAUUGAGACAGCAGAGCUGGGAGGAAACCUGCACAUUGAUCAAGCCGCUGUCAGUCCAGUGAUGAAACAGCUUUGAAAUGAGUCGAUUAGAUCAUAUAGCCUGAAAUGAAGUGUAUCUGAAAUGUCAGUCAGCGUAACACCAAAAUCAUUACGAAAAUAUGUUUUCUGUGGCCAUGUAUUUGAAGUGCCUUAAGUCUUUUUUCAUAAGAAGAACAUAAUGUUCAGAUUGUUAACUGAAGAAGAUGUCAAUAUGCCUAAAAGUCUUAUUUCUCUGGACCUAACUGAUUACAGUUUCAGGUGAAAGUCAUGGUGAACAGACAGUGAGGCAGUGUCUCCCGACAGUCUGCAGAACACCACCCUUUCUUCCUGGCUUACAGAAAACAUGCCAACAGACAGAAUCACAUGGUUCUACUUAUGGAGUCUAUAGGAACAGCCCCGCUGAGCCUCCUGGUAUUGAAAAGGCUGAGAUUUUUUAAAUGCCUCAUCUGGAAACACCUGGUUCUGAGCUUACCUGGCUGUCAGACACCUCAGCACAGGAUCAGAUGUGAUUAAACAGCAGUACAGCAAGCAGCUGUGAACUGGUCCUCUUCACCAGACACACCUGCUGCAUAAAGUGACGUACUGAACCUGCACAGUCCUGAGCUGAAUGCCAGGCAGCGAUGUGAAACAGAUCACACUGUGGAGAAUGCAGCUUCAUGUUGUCCAACUGCACUUAGCUUCAUCAGCACCUGCCAUUAUUCCUCAGUAGGCGAGAGAAGCCUUGGGCUGUCAUUGAGCACAGCAGGUCCCUGAUGAGAAACCCUGAAGAGCUCCAAUCUGUAGGGCCAGACUGCAGCUGGGCCAUCUGGAAAAGUGGAAAACCGGGUCAUGUGACGCGGUCAUGUGACAGGCUUGGUGUGAGGCCACCUACAAUGUGGCUCCUGUGCGCCGUUCUGGGGCUCUGCGAACAUUCUGCAGGACAGGGCUGCAGGAGAUCCUGAAGGAAGAGUGAACAGGGUGCAAGCUGAGAGGACGAAGUAGGAGAAAAACGUGUGAGGAAUCUUCACAACACCAGACACAAAUGCAUUCUUAAAUUCUUACUACUGUAUGUCUAAUCAGUUGUGCUAAGCAUUGUCCUGAUGUAACUACAAUAUAAUGUACUGCAAUUAAGAGUUUUAAUACAUUUUCAAGUAAA